rnacentral:lncRNA from 1 species
GUAAGUUUCUACAGGAAAGGGCCAACAUGAGCACCCAGUGAAUGGAAAUCCAGGCCAUCCUCAUCCUGAAGGUGCCAGAGCAGGCCCCGCCGGCUGCCUGAGAGCUCCCAUUCCUUGUCAGUCCCCUCUGCCCCUGCCUGCCUCAGUUCUCUGCCCCUGCCUGCCUCUGUUCUCUGCCCCUGCCUGCCUCAGUUCUCUGCCCCUGCCUGCCUCUGUUCUCUGCCCCUGCCUGCCUCAGUUCUCUGCCCCUGCCUGCCUCUGUUCUCUGCCCCUGCCUGCCUCUGUUCUAAGGACUGUAAGAGCUAAACCUAAGAUCACUCGACUCCCUCGUAAUCGGGGGCGGGGGGCCAUGCGACAGUGUUCUUGUCCAUGAGAUGUGAGCAGAAGUCCAUGAGAAAGACAGCCCUUCCAGAAUAAAAUGGCAAAGCUUCCACAGGAGAAAUCUUUUUGCCCGUCGGCCUUUGCCCUCCCUCUAUGUUAUUCCUGCCUGGAAUGCAAACGUGAUGCCUGGAGGUGCAGCAGCCAUCUUGUAAUGUGAGGACAGAACCCAUGCUGAGGAUGGCAGAGCAGACAGGUGAGCCUGGGUCCUGGCUGAUGCCUGUGAGGAGCUACUGCUGUCUGGGCAGACAGCUUAGCAUUGCUGUUGCAGGAGAAAAAUUAAUUUCUAUCUUUGCAUCUCAUUCUUAGCUGAACCUUUCCUAAUUUGCAGCAAACCUACAUGAAACAGUAAAGGACAAUCACAGUUAAAAUAAAUACAACACAUAUGUGUAAAUAUACGUUUAUAAUUAUUUUUGGUGCAUAUUUAAAUUAAGGGAGAGAAGUUACGUAAAAUUAUUUUCAAAAUUUUAAGGUAUGAUGGACAUUAUUAUCCUGUAUAAGAUGGCUCACUCCUAAAAAAACCUGGAAAACUUCAACGAUAGUGGAAAAACAGAGACGCUUUUUAAUCCAUCAUGAAAAAUCCUAGCACAAGCCCAAGUGGAAACACUAUUCCCCAACAGAAAUGCAAAGGCAGAAAAGCCCCCUGAAAGAGGGAUCCUAGCAGUCAGCCUUCCUCCUACUGAAAGAGGGAUCCUAGCAGUCAGCCUUCCUCCUACAUGACUGCCUUAAUUGUUGGGCAGUAAAUGGCUUUGUAGAAUGUAACGUGGUCACAAAACCCCAAGGAGCCAACUGCAGAAGGAGAGGCAAGCAGACCCAGUGCCAAGCAGAAGAGGGCAGGGCCAUGAAGGAAAACCAAGGGACAUGUGACCGCCUGAGCACCAGAGAAGCCCCAGCUACAACCGGUACUCAAGGGGCAGCCCCACCUCUCUGCUGCUUUGCUGAUUCCUGAUUCUGAGCAAAGGAUGCUAUAAAUAAAGCUAGAAAUAAAUAUUCCACCAGUGUAUCCCUUGUUUUCCCAGCCUCUCUUCCAAAUUUCCUCUUCAUGCUCAGCUGCAGGGUGAAGCUGACCUCCUUCCUGCUCUCAUGAUCAUAACGGCUCUGCUGUGAAGACCGCAGCUACGGGGAUCUUGUGACCUCAAUUGGUCCGUACCCACAUGGAGAAGUGCCCCAGCUGAGAGAAGCCCCCAGGCCAUACAGCAAGGAAUAGGCCAAAUUGGGCCCUAAACUGACGCCUGCCAGUUCUCCCUGCCCAGCCGGGACCACAGGCUGCAGCACAAGGUCUCCACCAUCAGACAUCACUUUGAGCUGAAGACAAGUCAGGCCUCAGAAACCCAGCCAAACCAGGUAAGGCCUACGUGGGGAGCCCCCAAAUCAGGGCGGGAAGCCCCCAGAUCACGGUGGGAAGUGAAAGAGGGGCUGGUGAUUCAGCACGCAGCACAGCCAAUCACUGAGAGGUCCACUAUCUGGCCAUGGGCUGAGCAAGGGGGUCCUGGGCCUGGGAGCUUGCUGGGAGCCACCUCCCAGGUCAUUCAUCUGUGCUGCCAGGGCCGGGCUGUGUCUGAGCUGAACACUUCAGUAAGCACCUGCUUAACACAAUGGUGUCCAAAUCCCCCAGGGCUGCAGCUCUCUACAGCGUGUGUGCCUUCUGUACCAUCCCCCGCCUCAUCCAUCCUUGGGCUCUUAUAUUAUUUUUCUGGGGAUGCUGUAACAAAUCAUCACAAGCUGAGUGGCUAAAAAGAACAGAAAUUUAGUCUCUCGUGGUUCUGGAGGGGAAAAGUCAGAAACUAAGGUGUCAGCAGAGCUGUGUUCUCUCGGAAGGCUCCACGGCAGGGUCCUCCUGGAUUCUUGCAGCUUCCGGUGACCCUGGAGCUCCUUGGGGUGCCUUGGCUGGCAGGUGCAUCAGUUUCAUCAGCUGAUCGGCCACUGCCUCACCUGGCAUGCUCUCCUGUGUGUCUCUGUUUUCUCUUAUAAGAACACAAGUCAUUAGACUUAGGGUUUACCGUAAUCCAGUAUGACAUCGUUUUAACUUAACUGGCUACAUCAGCAAAAACUUGAGUUCCAAAUAAAGUCACAAAAGUGGGCGAAGGACAUGAACAGACACUUCUCAAAAGAAGAUAUUU